rnacentral:rRNA from 1 species
CCUACGGGAGGCAGCAGUGGGGAAUAUUGCACAAUGGGCGAAAGCCUGAUGCAGCGACGCCGCGUGAGGGAUGACGGCCUUCGGGUUGUAAACCUCUUUCAGCAGGGAAGAAGCGAAAGUGACGGUACCUGCAGAAGAAGCGCCGGCUAACUACGCGCCAGCAGCCGCGGUAAUACGUAGGGCGCAAGCGUUGUCCGGAAUUAUUGGGCGUAAAGAGCUCGUAGGCGGCUUGUCGCGUCGGUUGUGAAAGCCCGGGGCUUAACCCCGGGUCUGCAGUCGAUACGGGCAGGCUAGAGUGUGGUAGGGGAGAUCGGAAUUCCUGGUGUAGCGGUGAAAUGCGCAGAUAUCAGGAGGAACACCGGUGGCGAAGGCGGAUCUCUGGGCCAUUACUGACGCUGAGGAGCGAAAGCGUGGGGAGCGAACAGGGAUUAGAUACCCUGGUAGUCCACGCCGUAAACGGUGGGAACUAGGUGUUGGCGACAUUCCACGUCGUCGGUGCCGCAGCUACGCAUACGUUCCGUCCGUCGGGAGUACGGCGCGACGACGUAAACUUAAAUAGUAAGUUAGACGGACGUGAGACGUAGCCGAACGGACGACGACGAGGGAGAGG